AUACUUUUUCAUCCUGUGUCACUUUUCUACCAGACUACGCCUUCUUUGUCAAACCAUUUUAUGGGUGCACAUGUGCUGCGAUCAAUGAUGAGGCGCGACAUGCUGUUUUAUACUGUAACAUUUGGUUAUAGUGAAGCAGCUGACUGCUUCCCGCUCCAGCCCAACACCCUCUGGAUAUUAAAAGUCUGUAUUAUAUGUCACUGAGACUGGAUAUGGCUUAAACACUGUGCUUUAGCUGUCUUUAAAUAUAUUCAAUAAGUUAUCACA